rnacentral:rRNA from 1 species
CCUACGGGAGGCAGCAGUAGGGAAUUUUCGGCAAUGGGGGGAACCCUGACCGAGCAACGCCGCGUGAACGAAGAAGUUAUUCGUAAUGUAAAGUUCUUUUAACAGGGAAGAAAGAGAAAUUUGACGGUACCUGAAGAAUAAGCUCCGGCUAACAACGUGCCAGCAGCCGCGGUAAUACGUAGGGAGCGAGCGUUACCCGGAAUUAUUGGGCGAAAAGGGUUUGUAGAUGGCAUAGUAAGCCUUUUGUAAAAAUGCUGGGCUCAACCCAGUAGGGCAAAAGAUACUGCAAAGCUAGAGUAUGACAGAGGCAAGUGGAACUACAGGUGUAGCGGUGAAAUGCGUAAAUAUAUGGAAGAACACCAGUGGCGAAGGCGGCUUGCUGGGUCGAUACUGACAUUGAGGCGCGAAAGCGUGGGGAGCAAACAGGAUUAGAUACCCGUGUAGUC